CUCGUUCUUCGAAUAGUCAUUCCGGCGAUUGUCGUCAACUAGCAAGCUUAUCUCUACUUCAGGAGCACAACAGCAUCAACUUCAUCCGACGAGUUUGGUGUCAAACAAUAUCUCUGUGACAUCAAUGAUCCAUACCCUUACCAGUGCCCUCCCGGCAUGAUCUGCCUGCCAGCACCCGGACCAACAGGGGGCGAGUGCAUGCCUUUUAAGAAGUGAAUGGCAAAUGUUGAAGUUCCAAAAUGCCAACAGCCGUGGGAUGAUGAAGUCGCAAUUGAUUAUUUAUUACGGUGAAGGGUUUAAGUUGUAUUGUCUUUGCCUUGUACGAGUUAAAUGAGACUUUUGAAAUUAACAUGUAGUUGAAAUUCCCACAAGGAACAAAAUGUUGAUUAAAUAGCUAACUCCCGUGAGUAAAUUAAUGACACAUUUUCCGAUUACCAUUUUAAUCUGAUCCUAAUCUGAAUCUUUAUCUGGAAAUGAACAACAACACCCGAUGGGUGUCACGAUUGUGAAGCUACCACUGCGAGUUUCUCUGACACAAUUUCCUACGGGAAAUGUUUCCUUUGCAUCACAUAUAUUCAUCAUGUUGUCUUGUUGUUAUUCAGCCAAUAUUAGGCCUCUCUUUAAAACCUGUUGAAAUCAGUUUUCACUUACAAGACAUUAUACAGCGAAGACUUCAAACUGACCUGUAGUCUAAUUGAAACUCAUAGGCUUACGCAUAUCUGAACUAAACGAAAGCAUGAAAAGUCAUUCUGGGUGGUGGGUCUUAAUUAUUGUAAUCACACUUUUAAGAUUUUCUGUUGAAUAAAUGUUGUUGGCAUGGUAUGAGCUCCUGCGACUAAA